rnacentral:rRNA from 1 species
GAUGAACGCUGGCGGCGUGCCUAAUACAUGCAAGUCGAGCGAACGGACGAGAAGCGUGCUUCUCUGAUGUUAGCGGCGGAAGGGAGAGUAACAUGUGGAGAACAUACCUAUAAGACUGGGAUAACUUCGGGAAACCGUAGCUAAAACCGGACAAUAUUUUGAACCGCAUGGUUCAAAAGUGAAAGACGGUCUUGCUGUCACUUAUAGAUGGAUCCGCGCUGCAUUAGCUAUUUGGUAAGGUAACGGCUUAGCAAGGCAACGAUGCAUAGCCGACCUGAGAGGGUGAUGCGCCACUCUGGAACUGAGACGCGAUCCUGGCUCCGACGGAAGGCACAGGUAGGGAAUCUUCCGCACUGGGCGGAAGCCUGCAGGAGGAACGCCGCGUGAGUGAUGAAGGUCUUCGUACCGGAAAACUGUCUUAGGAGGGAAGAACAUAUGUGUAAGGAACUGUGCACAUCUUGACGGUACCUAAACAGAAAGCACCGGCUAACUACGUG